CGUGGACUCUGAUUUCUGCAAGUGUCUUGGGGACUUUGGCCAGUUGUGAAAACUGUGAUUUGGUUGGUCGGUUUGCCUGUAGUGGGUGCCUAACUUUCAUGGUAAUGUUUAACAAAAGAGGAUCCAUGCCCAUGUGAAGGGCAUCUCCACAGAAUGUCUGAGCCUUUUGGCAGUGCUCCUCACUGGAGAAAGCAGAAAUGCACUUAGCAUCCAAGCUUGAGGAAGCACCAAGCUGAGAGGUCAGCAUGAGAGGUUUGUCAGCAUGAGAGGUCAGUCAGCAUGAGAGGUUAGUCAGCGUGAGAGGUCAGUCAGCAUGAGAGGUCAGUCAGCAUGAGAGGUCAGUCAGCAUGAGAGGUCAGUCAGCAUGAGAGGUCAGUCAGCAUGAGAGGUCAGUCAGCAUGAGAGGUUAGUCAGCAUGAGAGGUCAGUUAGAAUAGAGGUUAGUCAGCAUGAGAGGUUAGAAUGAGAGGUUAGUCAGCAUGAG
rnacentral:sRNA from 1 species